AUGUGGGAUUCGAUCCCGGGUCUCCAGGAUCGCGCCCUGAGCCAAAGGCAGGCGCCAAACCGCUGCGCCACCCAGGGAUCCCGAGCUGACUCUUGAUUGUGUAAGAGAGGGCAAGCCACUAAUUCUCUCAUUUGUUAAAUGGAGAAAACAUAUGAUACUUAAUAUCUCCAAAGUAUAAAUGGGGUUAAUUAUGGUUCAACCACUAUUGGAAACAAGAAUUUUUGUUUCUCAGAAGAUUGUUCUCAAGGGAUAGAAGAUACAUUCCUAUUUCCUCCAAGAAGACAGGUAAACAGUGGUGAAACAGGUGCAUAAGAAGAAUGAUAUUUAUCAAGGUUUGGCCACUCAAGGGAAAGACUGGCAGAUAGACUCACCCUGGAUGAAAAUUAAGCAGGUGAAAUUGGACAAGAGCAACACUUUUAUGGAAGAACAGAUAGUCACAGACCAGUCAUGGAGGAAUUAAACCAUGGUCAGACGUUUCUUCCCCCUCUGUUCUGACGUUGGAAGUGAAAUGAUGCAGAAAGCUGUUCUUUCUUACUCUGUAUUGCAUCAGUCUUGCAAAGCACACACAGGUGCUAGUAAUCAGUAACCACUUGAAAUUUAUGCUUGUUGUUUUAAUAAAGCAUUAUAUUUGGAUUA